rnacentral:lncRNA from 1 species
AGAUGGGUUAAUUUAUGUAUGUGAAAGGGAUUAUGAAUAAUUCUCUUAGUCGACUGUUGAUUCACUGGCAAGUGUACCAGAUCGUGCAAGUAAUAUAAUCGGUAAUGCCCAAUAUCGUUCUUCCCACGAGAAUCGAAAGGAUCGUUCAUGUGAAUUAAAAUCCUAAGACUUGUAGAGAAAUAAUUAAUUGUUGUGGAUGCAAAGACAGAAAAUAAACAUGCAAUGUGUUUGAUUCAAUUGACGAAAAAGACUAUGGAUGAAUGGAGUUGUUGGGGGUUUACAAUUUCUUCUUAUUCACUCCCUCUUAUCUACUCCUCUUGUUUAAUGUGCUCGAUUAUCUAAUUGUUAUGCAAACUUUCUUGGCCUACCCUUAACNCGAUCCCUCGGUGAAAAGAGCCUAUUACUAAUUACCGGCUUGCUAUCCCUAGCCUCCCCUAGCAAUUAAUAAUGCAUUAAGAACAAAAGCAAAAACAAUUGAUCGUCAUACCCCCUAUCCCUAGGUUGGUAUUGUUUAAUCAAGGAAUUUCUCACCAAUUCAUGACAGUACUGUACGUUCCCG